rnacentral:rRNA from 1 species
CACGUAGGCGGGUAUUUAAGUCAGGGGUGAAAUCCCGGAGCUCAACUCCGGAACUGCCUUUGAUACUAGGUACCUAGAGUAUGGAAGAGGUAAGUGGAAUUCCGAGUGUAGAGGUGAAAUUCGUAGAUAUUCGGAGGAACACCAGUGGCGAAGGCGGCUUACUGGUCCAUUACUGACGCUGAGGUGCGAAAGCGUGGGGAGCAAACA